CAAUAAGCGGAGGAAAAGAAACCAACAGGGAUUACCUUCAGUAACGGCGAAGUGAAGCGGUAAAAGCUCAAAUUUGAAAUCUGGCUCUUUUAGAGUCCGAAUUGUAAUUUGUAGAAGAKGCUUCGGGUGUGGUUCCGGUCUAAGUUCCUUGGAACAGGACGUCAUAGAGGGUGAGAAUCCCGUAUGUGACUGGAUACCUAUGCUCAUGUGAAGCUCUUUCGACGAGUCGAGUUGUUUGGGAAUGCAGCUCAAAAUGGGAGGUAUAUUUCUUCUAAAGCUAAAUAUUGGCCAGAGACCGAUAGCGCACAAGUAGAGUGAUCGAAAGAUGAAAAGCACUUUGGAAAGAGAGUUAAACAGUACGUGAAAUUGUUGAAAGGGAAGCGCUUGCAAUCAGACUUGCACUUGGUGUUCAUCAGGGUCUCGUACCCUGUGUACUUCAUCAAGUUCAGGCCAGCAUCAGUUUGAGUGGUUAGAUAAAGGCUUAGAGAAUGUGGCCCUCUUCGGGGGGUGUUAUAGCUCUAGGUGCAAUGUAGCCUACUUGGACUGAGGACCGCGCUUCGGCUAGGAUGCUGGCGUAAUGGUUGUAAGCGACCCGUCUUGAAACACGGACCAAGGAGUGUACCUAAUAUGCGAGUGUUUGGGUGUUAAACCCAUACGCGUAAUGAAAGUGAACGCUGGUGAGAACCCUUAAGGGUGCAUCAUCGACCGAUCUUGAUGUCUUCGGAUGGAUUUGAGUAAGAGCAUAUUGGGUGCGACCCGAAAGAUGGUGAUCUAUACGUGAAUAGGGUGAAGCCRGAGGAAACUCUGGUGGAGGCKCGCAGCGGUUCUGACGUGCAAAUCGAUCGUCAAAUUUGCGUAWAGGGGCGAAAGACUWAUCGAACCAUCUAGUAGCUGGUUCUGC
rnacentral:rRNA from 1 species